rnacentral:rRNA from 1 species
CCUACGGGUGGCAGCAGUGAGGAAUAUUGGUCAAUGGACGAAAGUCUGAACCAGCCAUGCCGCGUGCAGGAAGACGGCUCUAUGAGUUGUAAACUGCUUUUGUACGGGGGUAAACGCAGACACGCGUAUCUUUCUGAAAGUAUCGUACGAAUAAGGAUCGGCUAACUCCGUGCCAGCAGCCGCGGUAAUACGGAGGAUUCAAGCGUUAUCCGGAUUUAUUGGGUUUAAAGGGUGCGUAGGCGGUCGGAUAAGUUAGUGGUGAAAUUCCGAGGCUCAACUUCGGAAUUGCCUUUGAUACUGUUCGUCUUGAGAAUAGUUGAGGUAGGUGGAAUGUAUGGUGUAGCGGUGAAAUGCUUAGAGAUCAUACAGAACACCGAUUGCGAAGGCAGCUUACCAAGCUACUUCUGACGUUGAGGCACGAAAGCGUGGGGAGCAAACAGGAUUAGAUACCCGUGUAGUC